UACGAAGGGGGCUAGCGUUGCUCGGAAUCACUGGGCGUAAAGCGCACGUAGGCGGAUUGUUAAGUCAGGGGUGAAAUCCUGGAGCUCAACUCCAGAACUGCCUUUGAUACUGACGGUCUUGAGUUCGGGAGAGGUGAGUGGAACUGCGAGUGUAGAGGUGAAAUUCGUAGAUAUUCGCAAGAACACCAGUGGCGAAGGCGGCUCACUGGCCCGAUACUGACGCUGAGACGCGAAAGCGCGGGGAGCGAACGGG
rnacentral:rRNA from 1 species